rnacentral:sRNA from 1 species
GACACGGAAUUUAGUUCGUCCGAUUAUGUUGCCUGCAAUAACUGACACAGCACGCGAGGGGGCAGGCGAGAGUGGAAUGUGAGCAAUUUGUGAAUCCUUAUACUCACGAUACUAGGUGACUUCUGUUCAUUAAACAAUUCUGCCAAAAACAAAGUAUGGGAUUUGGCUGAUUGUUGAAAGAUUUGAAACAGUACGAGUAGCAAAGUUUGUGGUAGAAUAGUUGAGCAGUUGAAUUGCUUGAAAUUAUAGAAACGUGAGAUCAUCACUAGAAAACCAAAUCAGGUUUCAUAAAAAUUUGGUUAGAUUUCCCCCGAGCUACCUUCGCCAUACCACCGGCCUUUCCGAAACCAACUUCCUGCAAGUCCCAUUCGCAGCUUAGAUUCCAAAGACGGUUGGAAGCGAUACAUAUGUGAUGGAUAAAAAGAAAUAGGGGAUAUAUCCUAUAUCCCUCGGGAAUUGAAAACGCCACGGCCUGGCCCUAGAUUUCCAAGGAAUGACGGAUAUCUUCAAACAAGGUUCUCGGACCGAUUUUCUCGGAUCAAGAAUGCCAUAGCUGCCGCUUGCACGACAGCGGCAAAGGAUGGAGAACUGAGCUUCGGCCAUGUCUAAUCAGCAUUGACUGUGAACUGGAAUUGUGUGCCAGACUCGGGCCUGGCUCAGAAGUACGAUGGGUUGAAUGAGUGAACUGUCAAAUAUGCCCGAACGAGGGAAAAAUUCCAGUAAAUAGGGGGAUAUUUUCGCAAGGAAGUUUCACUGUCCUUCACCUAACGAGGACUAAUAUGCUUUGUUUUUCUCGCCUUCUCCUCCUUUUUCAUAUUUUCUCUCAGUGAUCGCAUUUGAUGACGAUGCUGCCAGUCAUAACGUUGAAUUUCAAUGAGUAUCGUUUUCCAUUUGGUGCAUAGCCUGCCUUGCUGGAUUUUCCGUAGUAUGUGCGUCAAUUUUUGUUUUCCUCGUUGGGGUGUUCAAUAGAGGACGGAUUAUAGGUAUCUCCCUUUUAUUCGAGACACCAUUUCUCCGAGAUCACCCUACACGUUUGCAUCCGAUCCCUCUGAACUUCUGGUCCCUGACUCAUCAGGAAUCCCGUAAACCGUUCGGAUCUUCGUGGUUGCUCCGAGUCUGGUUAUGAAGUGUAUCAACGAGA